rnacentral:misc_RNA from 1 species
GGGGAAGGCGAGCGCGACGACGUGGCCGGGGAGCACGCCCGCAUCGGCGGCGAGGCGCGCGGCCGCGGCGUCGACGAGCGCGUCGAGCGCCGCGUGCGACAGGUCGACCUUGCCCGGGACGGCGAGGGCGCGGCGCGAGGGGAACGUGGCCACCGCCGCCUUGAGCAGCGUGGUCAGAGUCGGGGUCUCCAUUGGGUCGCCCGCUGCAGGUGC